rnacentral:rRNA from 1 species
CGACCUUAAACGGUGCACACUCGCGGUAGGGCCAUUUCACCGGCCCUGUCGCUCAGCUAACGCGUUAAGUGUGCCGCCUGGGGAGUACGGCCGCAAGGCUAAAACUCAAAGAAAUUGACGGGGGCCCGCACAAGCAGAGGAGCAUGUGGCUUAAUUCGAUGCAACGCGAAGAACCUUACCUGGAUUUGACAUACAGCUGCACGGUCUAUGAAAGUAGAUCUCCUUCGAGGGUGCUGUACAGGUGCUGCAUGGCUGUCGUCAGUUCGUGCCGUGAGGUGUUUGGUUAAGUCCACCAACGAACGCAACCCCUUUGAUGUGUUGCCAGCGGGUCAGGCCGGGAACUCGCAUCAUACUGCUCGUUUACGCGAGAGGAAGGUGGGGAUGACGUCAAGUCAGUAUGGCCCUUACAUCCAGGGCUGCACACGUGCUACAAUGGCCGGUACAGAGCGACGCGAGAGCGCAAGCUGGAGCAAAUCGCACAGAGCCGGCCUCAGUUCAGAUCGGGGUCUGCAACCCGACCCCGUGAAGUCGGAUUUGCUAGUAACGGCGUAUCAGCUACGACGCCGUGAAUGCGUUCCCGGGCCUUGUACACACCGCCCGUCACAUCAUGAAAGCCGUCUGCACCCGAAGUCGGGCAUUUGUCCGCCUAAGGUGUGGGUGGUGAUUGGGAUG